rnacentral:lncRNA from 1 species
UCCACUUUUCUCUCUUUUCAUUUUUGCCAUCCCUCUCUGUUCUCUUUUCUUUUUCUCUUCUCCUCCAUUGUGCCGCCCCUUUGUUCAUUUUUUCUCUCCCAUUUGAUUUUAUUUUUCUGCUCAUUUUUCCUUCCCCCUAAAAGUCGAACCUUGCUAGUUUUACUGUUAUUGCCGCACAUCAGCAGCCCUUUUUAUCCUCCAUUGCCGCCAUCCAUUACACCACCACAUUUUUGCCAUUGUCACUUUAUUUUACUCUUCGUUUUUCCUGUCAUCGCGGAUCUGAGUAAGUGCAGAAUUUUUCGGUUAAUUUAAUCAAGUCUAAGUAGUUUUUAUUUUAUUCGAUAUUCUGAUAUGGCCGAAUCUGAUGUAUUAUCAUUUUCUUGGUGUUUAAAUGUUCAAGAUCUAGAUCCAAAUCGUAUGGAUCUAUAGCGUUGGGAAGUUGUUUGCAAGCCGUUAUAAGUCAAUUAAGGUAAGUGUUGAAUCUCCACUUCGGAUCUGAAGUUUCAAUUUAAGGUUUGCGGCUUGGUCGAACCCUAUAAGGGCUUUAGGGGGGAUGAUUUUUUAUAAAUAUUUUCUGUUGUGUUCAGAUUUAAGCAAGUUCUAGUCGGAUCUAAGUCCUAAGAGCUGCGGAUUUAAGUAGUACUUCGGGUCUACGCUUAUUAGCUGUUGGUCUUACCAUUGAGUGUUUAAUUGAUUAUUAAAAAUAAUAUUUUGUGCAUGUUAAACCAAUAUACAUGCUGAUUGGUACAUGGCCGAAUGGUCAUUAGUGAGUUUAAAAGUUACCGAUUGAGGUAUGUACUAAAAGGGUAGUGGCCGAUUAUUAAAGGGCUUUAAUUGAGAUUAAGGGUCUGUUUGUUUGCCAGUAAAAUAUUUUCCGGAAAAUAAUUUAUAGAAAAUGAUUUACUUUUCUGGAAAAUGAUUUACUGAAAAUAUUUUCUGGGAAUUUAUGUAAAAUAUUUUCUUUUAUUUGGCAGAUUUCCUGAAAAUAUUUUCCGGGAAAGCUGUUUUUACAUAUAUUAAUAAAUUUUGCAAUGAUUUA